rnacentral:rRNA from 1 species
GCCCCAGUAACGGCGAGUGAAGCGGCAGCAGCUCAAAUUUGAAAUCUGGCCCCCAGGGCCCGAGUUGUAAUUUGCAGAGGAUGCUUUUGGCGAGGUGCCUUCCGAGUUCCCUGGAACGGGACGCCAUAGAGGGUGAGAGCCCCGUCUGGUUGGACGCCGAGCCUCUGUAAAGCUCCUUCGACGAGUCGAGUAGUUUGGGAAUGCUGCUCUAAAUGGGAGGUAUAUGUCUUCUAAAGCUAAAUAUUGGCCAGAGACCGAUAGCGCACAAGUAGAGUGAUCGAAAGAUGAAAAGCACUUUGAAAAGAGAGUUAAAUAGUACGUGAAAUUGUUGAAAGGGAAGCGCUCAUGACCAGACUUGGGCCCGGUGAAUCAUCCAGCGUUCUCGCUGGUGCACUUUGCCGGUGCCCAGGCCAGCAUCAGUUUGCCCCGGGGGAUAAAGGCUCUGGGAAUGUGGCUCCCUAGGGAGUGUUAUAGCCCAUUGCACAAUACCCUGUGGCGGACUGAGGUUCGCGCAUCUUGCAAGGAUGCUGGCGUAAUGGUCAUCAGCGACCCGUCUUGAAACACGGACCAAGGAGUCGUCUUCGUAUGCGAGUGUUCGGGUGUCAAACCCCUACGCGUAAUGAAAGUGAACGCAGGUGAGAGCUUCGGCGCAUCAUCGACCGAUCCUGAUGUUCUCGGAUGGAUUUGAGUAAGAGCAUACGGGGCCGGACCCGAAAGAAGGUGAACUAUGCCUGUAUAGGGUGAAGCCAGAGGAAACUCUGGUGGAGGCUCGCAGCGGUUCUGACGUGCAAAUCGAUCGUCAAAUAUGGGCAUG